rnacentral:lncRNA from 1 species
AGGUGGUGUAAGUCACAGAAUGCCCACCAGUCAGGAGGAGAAGGAGUGAAAUAUAACGUUGGAAAUCUUGUGUUUUGGUCCAUGUUGGGAUGUGCUGAAUUCAGAUAUAUGUUAGAGAGGAGGAGUAAAGAAAGACAAUCUUUGUUGAACAUCUUCACGUCUUCCGUCCUCCAUCUGCUGUGAGAAAGAAGGCACUUCUCUCAAGGCAGAGUUCCAGGAGAGCAAAGCAAAGAAAGCCUGAAUGCCUUGCGUGUACCAUCUUGUUCCUGCUAUGAUCCGAACUGACAGAACUUUAUACUUAUGUCAUGGCAAGAAUUUCUUUCUGUCCUAAGUUACCAUCAGCAGUUUGCAGAUGUGUCUCCCUACCCAGCAGUCCAAGGGCCUUCCUUAGAAAGGAACUAAGUUUUGCAGAGUAAAAAGAGGAAACCCUGAGCGUCUCUGACUGGCAAGCAUUCUAUUAAGGUGAGACUUUUGGAGGCGGAGAAGACAUUCCAAUUGGUCUUCAGGUACUUCUGACACUGCUUGGUUGGCUGAGGGGGCACAUGAGCAGUUUAGGGACAUUCCAAGAGGACGGAUUAUUCGGUGUUAGGGGUGGCAGGUGUUCUGUGGCAGGCUGCUCCCUGGAACGAAUGGGGGGCGCUGGGGGUCUUUUAGAGUGAGUGUCCUCAUGAGAAGUGACUGCAUGGCAAGUCGUGUUCCCAAACAGACUGCACCUCUUCCCAAGCUCCCAUGGAACAUGGAUCAAAGUGACUGCCUCCUGGGGGCGGGGUAGAAGGAGGACUUCAGAAGUAUCACCGGACCUUUAGCAUUUUGGAUCUUGGAAUAUAAAACCUAUUCACUUAAAUCUGACCACAUAUUUGGCCAGGAAGAAAACCUCAAGUUUAAAAUAUGGAAAGAGUUCAGACCAAAUUCC